GGUGAUAGCCAUGUCACCCUGCAGCCCAAGACCGGUUACUAAGCUAAACAGGGCUGAACCUGGUUAGUACCUGUAUGGGAAACCACAUGAGAAAAUUAGGUUGCUGUUGGAU
rnacentral:rRNA from 1 species